rnacentral:rRNA from 1 species
CCUACGGGUGGCUGCAGUGAGUAAUAUUGGUCAAUGGGCGCGAGCCUGAACCAGCCAAGUAGCGUGAAGGAUGACUGCCCUACGGUUUGUACACUUCUUUUAUAAAGGACUAAAGUGAGGCACGUGUGCCUUUUUGUAUGUACUUUAUGAAUAAGGAUCGGCUAACUCCGUGCCAGCAGCGGCGUUAAUACGGAGGAUCCGCGCGUUAUCCGGAUUUAUUGGGUUUACAGGGAGCGUAGAGGGGUUGUUAAGUCAGUUGUGAAAGUUUGCGGCUCAACCGUAAAAUUGCAAUUGAUACUGGCAGUCUUGAGUACAGUUGAGGUAGGCGGAAUUCGUGGUGUAGCGGUGAAAUGCUUAGAUAUCACGAAGAACUCCGAUUGCGAAGGCAGCUUACUAAACUGCCACUGACAUUGAUGCUCGAAAGUGUGGGUAUCAAACAGGAUUAGAUACCCGAGUAGUC